CUGCGCGGGGCGGGACGCGGACUCCCAGGCUCUGCGGAGAGCGGCUGCCACGCUCCUCCUUUCGCCUUUCCGGGGCCAGGCGUGUGCAGCUCUGUGAAGGGUCCCCUCCCUCUGCGGGACGUCCUCGCUGCCGAGGUCAGAGGUGCGGAGAACAUGAGACCCGAGGUCUCAACUGCUUCUUACCAAUAUUAAUUCCAGUGACUACUAUCAGAAUAUGAUGAGCAAUCCACUCAUCAGAGAAGCUGUUUCUACACUCUCCUGAAUGACCAUUUUAUAGAUGCUGGGAAAAAAUUGUAUUAAAGA
rnacentral:lncRNA from 10 species